CAAAAGACCGAAAGUACAUAA
rnacentral:siRNA from 1 species